rnacentral:lncRNA from 1 species
AUGAACUUCUAUAUCAUUUGGAUGGUUUUAAUUUUUCUCUGUUUUUUUCCAGGAAUCAGCAAACCAGUAAGAAUAGCCACAGGUUGGCAGAUCUGUAUGAUGUUCAACCAUGGAUUUUCAACCCAGAAAACCAGAGAGGAUGACGAUUGUCUUUGUGCAUUUUUGUGCACAAAGACACCUGUGCAUGAAGAUUUAAGUGGAAAAGUCGAUGCACAGAGACAGUCCCACUCUCUCGGCAUUGGAAGCCUGGGUCCAUUGGCACGAAAAGUCGUUACACCUGGAGACUUCCUCAGCUGCAUUGGAUGGCCGUGUUGUCUUUUGUGCUCCAACACGCCCUAAGCACUCCACAGUGCCUUGCUGCAUCGCCAUCUCAGCCGUUGAACCUUCUUGUUGGUUUCUUCCACCUGUUCCACCGAAACAGUCUUCACAUGCUGGGUGAGCAAAGCCCUGGUUCACCAGGGGUCGACGACCGGAUGGCUACCCUCACAAGGUUUAGCCAGCCUGUCAAAGCCGUUGCCCGGGGUGUGGCCGCUGCCGCAUGCUAGCAGCUACUAGGAGCACAAUGUUGUAUAUAUACACGUAUAUGUCAACCAUAUGCACACAAGUGCAGAAAUUAUUUGUGCUUAAGUGGUUGGAACAAGGAAAGAGUUUGAGAAAGGGAGAAUAAGAGGGAGGGUAUAUGUAGGGAAGGAUUGGUCCUAAGCAAUAUACACUCCAACCCCAGGGUGGUUUGCAAGAGGUAUUCAAAAGAAAAGAAAGGAAGAAUAAGAGUCUAUGGGCUCUGGGCAAGGGUUAGUGAAGAUGGACAGGAAGAGUAGAAAUGAAUAUUAUCAAACAAGAAUAGAUCAUUGAUGCCAAGCUCAUUCCUUGCUCUUGAUUGUUUUCUUCUUUGUAAAGAUUAGACGGCAGCCAAAGGGAGGGAAAGAUAUGAGAAGUAUUAUAGAACCUGUUUGAAAAAAUAAGAAAAGAAGAGCUCUUACGAAAUCACUUCCACCAUACAAAUAUGGUUGAUACCUAUGUGCAUAAGAACAAAUUCCAAAAUGUGAAAUAGUUUUGGGAAAAAAUUCAUUAAUCAUUUGGUAAGAAAGUAGAAAUUUGGAAUAGAUAAUCCCUAGGGUUGUUUUCUAU